GCUUCAAGCACUCAGAACGCUCCCGAACUUGUUGUAUGGAAACAGGAAUAAGGAGCAUGUCGGUGGAGAUCUCACUUGGUUCAAAAGGGGACUAGGCCUUGACCUGAAAGUAAUUAGAAGGGGACCCAAAGAAAACCUGAAAAUCAUAAGCAGCUGAAGUUCAAAUGGCCCUUUGGACCAGAGGGCCUCCAGUCUUGGACUUGUGAGGGCAGAUGAGCAAGAGAGGCCAGAGGUGGUAAGAGAAGCUUUUUUGACUUUUUUUGGGGGCAAAAAUUUGGCCUCAGUUACUACAGCAUUGGCCAGUACGAAUGUCUGGAAGUGCGUGGCACGUGAUGUCACCAACAUACUGGUAUAACAGUCGCCCCGAGCAGUUCCUGGUUAUGAGGCCUUGCAGAUAAUACACUGGGUGUUGGAAUAUGACUUCUUCAAUUUGUGAUCUCCAGUUAAACGAAUUCGAAUUUUGAAUCUCGACAAUGAAUUACCACACUGAUUUUGGCUUUGAUCAAGGAUUAAGACUAAACUUGGGACCAGUUAUGGGAAAAUCCGCCUGCCCCCAAUGACAUCACUUCCGGUUCCUGGGGCCACAAACGUCACUUUUGGCCCCCAUCCCGAUGACAUCAUUUCCGCUUCCAACCCCGAAGACCUAAUUUCUGGGUCUGACUCUGCUGACCUCACUUCCUCUGCCUGACCAUAAAACUGCCAUUUUGUUUUGCCCAACUCAGUUCUGUUUUGGACUCGAAUCUGUAUAUAACCUGCAUCUAAUUGCCUUCUUAGCAGCCUUGAUUCAAGUAUAAGAGUGGCUGCCCCAAACCUUUUUGGUGGCAUUUGCCUGCUUAUUUGACAAUAUAAAUUGUUACGCAUGCGCAUCAGAAGAUCAUCUACCAAUCUCAUCUCAGCUACAUGUCACCAGGAAGAGAGGGGGUGCUAUUACCAAUCGUUAUGUCUCCUUUUUGUUUCCUUCAUAGUCGAGAAGAUGUUCAAUGAGGGCAACUGAGACAGAAGAGUGUCACCCUUUCCAACCCAAACAGUAUAAAAAACAGAUGUAGCUGAAAGGUGGCAUCACUUUUGGGGCCCAAGCUGCAACCAGUGCAGAGCUCCCCCCAAAGCCUGACCCAACCUUUAGAGGAGCCAUUUCAAGGCCAAUUUUCCAGUGCUGAGAAGACACCAAGUGAAGGUAUAUGACUCCGCCCAUCCUUUAGCUAUACUGUAUAUCCUGUAGCCACAGGAAGGAGGCAUCACUCUGUAACAAGAGCACAUUGCAGGACGGAGCACCUAGCAAAGUGACUGAAUGAGGCAUCCUAAGGCUAACAGUUAUUUCUGGAAGCUUUUGUGUUCCUUUCUUGUGCUGGAAAAUUUUUUAUUUCUGUUUUAAAGUUCUGUUUAAAAGGGACUUUCUCAGGGCCAGCUGUGUUUCUAUGGCAUAGGUUUACUGCUUAACAGCGGGACAGCUUGUAGUAGGAAAACAGAGCAAGGGAGGUACUAAACAGCCUACGAGUGAUGUUCGCUACCGUUAUGGGCAGCUAAAUGGUGGCGACAUUGGUCACUCUAUAUGUCUAUAUAUAUAUAUAUACACACACUAGGGGGCAUUGCCCCCUACUCCCUUUGCUCGCCCACCCCCAACCAAACCCCCUUCGGGGGUGCGCUUCACACUCACCACUUCGUGUC